CUACUCCAGUCCUCUCCACCCCAAGCUCUAUGCAACUCAUUUUCAUCUAGCAUUACCUCUCCAAAACCUGAAUCUCCACAAGAAAGCCACACAGCAAUUAACCAGUGUUGCAAGAACUGCUUCUGUAAUAAAGGUGGGAAGACAAAUUGAUGCAACCCUCUUGAAAAGCAAUCUGGCAAUAUGAACCAAGAGCCAUGAAAAGGCUUAUGCUAUUAUAAUUAAAUGGCUGUAAUGUUGGCUGUAAAUAUGAAAUUUUCUUUCACACACCAAUGUUUUCAAGAAUGGCAUAUUCACAUGCAGUAUGUGAUGAAAGAAGCAGUAAAGGAUGCUAACAAAGCUAUUUCUUUGGACAAUCUGAACCUGACGGAGUCUUACUCUGUCGCCCAGGCAGGAGUGCAAUGGCACAAUCUUGGCUCACCACAACCUCCGCCUCCUGGGUUCAAGUGACUCUCCUGCCUGGCCAUAGAAGCAAACACAAACAUAGAGGAAUUGGCUUUGGGCAGAUGGAAGGACCUCAGAGAAAAGAAACAAAGGAAAGAAAACUGGAUGGAUAAAGGUUUGUAGAAAUACUAUUCACAGGAAGCAAAUAGGAAUUCCUUAUCGCUAAACAGACACUAAGUCAAUUGGUAAAGAUCUUGCCAGCUGGUGCCUGGGUGCAUAGACUGCCUAUGGCUCUUGAAUUGCAUGCUGAAAACUUCAUAAUGAAACCAGAAAAUCACAGAAGCAUAAACACAGCUGCUUAUGCCUAUAAAUUAUUGCUGGUGAAAAGGAUGUUUAAGCAGAGUGAGAGACUCUCAGCAAAAAAAGGUAACUGAAAGAGUGGUAAGUCAGACAAAGAAGAAAAAUGCCAAAGAAGAGGGUCAAGAACAACUCAUAUGACUCCGAAAUCCCUUACCCACAUUGGAGUUAUAAAAAGUUCAGGAGCUGGAGACAAAAGGCAGGUUCAUAAAGAGGAUUCCUUGGAGAGAGUUGUUAUAAUGCUAUGAGAAAAUUGAAGCCAACAGAAGUUAACUAACUUGCCUAAAAUAACACAGCUGUGGCAAAUUAGGACCAGAACCAAGGUCUCCUGACCUAAGUGCUACUCCCACCAUACUACAUGAUCUGCUGUUUAAAAUUUUGGUGAGCUUUAUAACAUAAAUAAAACUACAGAUGUGAAGGA
ensembl:lncRNA LINC03076 long intergenic non-protein coding RNA 3076